rnacentral:rRNA from 1 species
GAUGAACGCUCGCUACAGGCUUAACACAUGCAAGUCGAGGGGAAACGCCAUCGAAAGCUUGCUUUUGAUGGGCGUCGACCGGCGCACGGGUGAGUAACGCGUAUCCAACCUGCCCAUCACUUGGGAAUAACCUUGCGAAAGUAAGACUAAUACCCAAUGAUAUCCCACGAAGGCAUCGGAAUGGGAUUAAAGAUUUAUCGGUGAUGGAUGGGGAUGCGUCUGAUUAGCUUGUUGGCGGGGUAACGGCCCACCAAGGCAACGAUCAGUAGGGGUUCUGAGAGGAAGGUCCCCCACAUUGGAACUGAGACACGGUCCAAACUCCUACGGGAGGCAGCAGUGAGGAAUAUUGGUCAAUGGGCGAGAGCCUGAACCAGCCAAGUAGCGUGCAGGAAGACGGCCCUAUGGGUUGUAAACUGCUUUUAUAAGGGAAUAAAGUGGGUCACGUGUGACUUUUUGCAUGUACCUUAUGAAUAAGAACCGGCUAAUUCCGUG